AACGAACGCUGGUGGCAUGCCUAACACAUGCAAGUCGAACGAGACCUUCGGGUCUAGUGGCGCACGGGUGCGUAACGCGUGGGAACCUGCCCUUAGGUUCGGAAUAACUCCCCGAAAGGGGUGCUAAUACCGGAUAAUGUCUUCGGACCAAAGAUUUAUCGCCUUUGGAUGGGCCCGCGUUGGAUUAGCUAGUUGGUAGGGUAAAAGCCUACCAAGGCGACGAUCCAUAGCUGGUCUGAGAGGAUGAUCAGCCACACUGGGACUGAGACACGGCCCAGACUCCUACGGGAAGCAGCAGUGGGGAAUAUUGGACAAUGGGCGAAAGCCUGAUCCAGCAAUGCCGCGUGAGUGAUGAAGGCCUUAGGGUUGUAAAGCUCUUUUACCCGGGAUGAUAAUGACAGUACCGGGAGAAUAAGCUCCGGCUAACUCCGUG
rnacentral:rRNA from 1 species